UACGGAAGGCAGCAGUGGGGAAUAUUGCACAAUGGGCGCAAGCCUGAUGCAGCCAUGCCGCGUGUAUGAAGAAGGCCUUCGGGUUGUAAAGUACUUUCAGUCGUGAGGAAGGUGUUAAGGUUAAUAACCUUAGCAAUUGACGUUAGCGACAGAAGAAGCACCGGCUAACUCCGUGCCAGCAGCCGCAGUAAUACGGAGGGUGCGAGCGUUAAUCGGAAUUACUGGGCGUAAAGGGCACGCAGGCGGUUAAUUAAGUUGGAUGUGAAAUCCCCGGGCUUAACCUGGGAAUGGCAUUCAAGACUGGUUAGCUAGAGUCUUGUAGAGGGGGUAGAAUUCCAUGUGUAGCGGUGAAAUGCAUAGAGAUGUGGAGGAAUACCGGGUGGCGAAGGCGGGCCCCUGGGACAAAGACUGACGCUCAUGUGCGAAAGCGUGGGGAGCAAACAGGGAUUAGGAUACC
rnacentral:rRNA from 1 species